UUUUAGACAGCAUUUCCUGCUACCGCUAAAGUUGAUUACCCUAUCUAAGAAAACCUCAAUAGUAAAAAAAACAAAAAAGCACAAUCACCAAAAUAGGAACGGUUUCCAUGUUAUGUUAACUCGUACUUACACAUAGUAACCACGCUAAACCCAACACGUUGCCCCAGCGCCACCGCUACCACCGCGCCGACCAACUCUUCAGCCACCGUUACCACCGCGCCGACCAACUCGAUUACGUCAGAAUUCAGAAAGUAUGUACAUUUCUAGCUAGCCAAGCAGAAGAGCUCGGAGAAUCAGACGAUGCAAGUGACUUUGAUACUGAUGAUGAUUACGAAGAUGAAUCUUCUAUAUAUGAGGAUGAUUAUGUAGAGAAUGUAGACUCUGACUCAGAAUAAAAAGAUUUUUUUAGUACUAUUGCUUAUGUAAUAUAUUUUGCUUGAUUUCUAUUUUUUUAUCUAA